AAAGCAUAUCGUACAGUCUCUUCGUAAACUGUGAAGUACUGUCAGGGUGCUGGAAUCUCUCAUUUCUGCAGAGAGAUGACUAUAUCCAUUGGGAAGGUUUUCCCACUAGGAGCAGAAGACCUGAGAUUAGUGUAAGUGAUACAAGUCAGAGCUCUCAGGGGCGCACAAGAAAAAGCAUCAGGGUGAAGCUGAGCUAAAACAGCCAAGUUCCACUUUAGUCUGAGAGCCGCCUCCUGCUCACCAUCAUGCCCCAGUCGCAGAAGACUCACCUAGCCAACAGCAAGCAGGAGGGAGACACAAUGCAUCCCAGUAAGACCAAGGCUGCAGUAAAAUGCUAACACUUCAUUGGAUAACAACUUGUCACGUGGCCAGGUGCAGUUACAAAGGAAACUGGGAAAUGAAGUCUAUAGAAGGAGUCAUCGUCCUAAGAAAGAAGAAGCCCCAGGAAGUCCUCAGUCGAAUCUCAUUUGUAAUAUUCACCAGCUCUAGGACUCAGGAAAAUCAAAAACUUGUUUUUCUUAUCUUAAAAUAAGAUUGUAUUCAUCCUAUAUAACUAUUGUAAUGUCAUAACUUUAUAACAUCUAAAACAAAGAAUGAACUGUGUGCAU